UGAGGCUGCUGGGCACAGGAAAGCCAGCCUUGGCCAACACCAGCACAGGCAGCUCAUAGGGCCCUUCUCCGCCACGGUGAAAGGAAGUCUGAUAUGCAUCAGCGGUGGGCAUGAGAAGUCAUUAGCCAACAUUUGAAGUCACUAGCCAACAUCUGGACUGGCAAAUUGAGAGGUAGUCAACUCAUUUUUAUUUAAACAAGGGAAUCCACAGGCUCAAGACUGCCCCUGCUGUCUGCAAGACAGCUUGAGGAAGCUUUCAGAAGCAAGACCAAAACCACUUUGCAUUGUUUCACAUUUGACUAGCUCCUGCAGCGAAAUCUACCUAUGCCUAGUGGGAGAAAAACAUUUUGAAACUGCUGAGGUCCUUGCCUGAGGGAAUUAUCCCAGGAGAACACAAUUUCAAACAAUGUGAUAUUGCUUAUGCAAGCUGAGACACAAAUAUUAAAACUAUUUUUCCAAAUAACAUACAAUUGGAACUUGAA